AUUUAUUUAUUUGACAGAGAGAUUACAAGUAGGCAGAGAGGCAGGCAGAGAGAGAGAGAGGAGGAAGCAGGCUCCCUGCUGAGCAGAGAGCCUGAUGCGGGACUCGAUCCCAGGACCCUGAGAUCAUGACCCGAGCCGAAGGCAGCGGCUUAACCCACUGAGCCACCCAGGCGCCCCCCCACUGUCUACAUUUUGUUGGUUUCCCUCUCUUAGUGCUUUUUAUGUUUUUCUAUAUUGAUGCUUAUUAACAUCACGCUGGCAAUAAUUCACUAUCUUUUCAAAUCCAGGUCUAGUUUAAUGAACAUAAAAAUUUAUUUUAUUUUAUUAUUAUUAUUUAUUAUCUUUUUUUUUAAUGUAGGUUCCAUGUCCAAUGUGGAGUUUGAACUCACAAUCCUGAGAUCAAGAACUCUGUGCUCUACCAAUAGAACCAUCCAGUGUAGAAGGCGCAUGGACUGAACAGAGGACAUGGAUGCGGAGGACAUGGAGGCAAGAGAUGCGGGUGAUGUGGAUCUGCUUGAAGGCCUGGGAGGCAGAAGAGGACAGAUGCAGUAUUAAUUUUGGUGAGCAAAAGGCAGAAGUGGGCGAUCACUUGGGUGUGAGUGUGUACAUGUGUACACAUGUGUGCAUGAGUGGGGUGUGGCUGGGGAGGGGUGGGAAGGACUAGUGAGAGAAGGACACAGUGAGAACAUGUGUCUUCUGCAGACUCAGGAAAGGAGAAAUGGAC
rnacentral:lncRNA from 1 species